AACGAACGCUGGCGGCAGGCUUAACACAUGCAAGUCGAGCGCCCCGCAAGGGGAGCGGCAGACGGGUGAGUAACGCGUGGGAACGUGCCCUUUGCUACGGAAUAGCCCUGGGAAACUGGGAGUAAUACCGUAUGUGCCCUUCGGGGGAAAGAUUUAUCGGCAAAGGAUCGGCCCGCGUUGGAUUAGGUAGUUGGUGGGGUAAUGGCCUACCAAGCCGACGAUCCAUAGCUGGUUUGAGAGGAUGAUCAGCCACACUGGGCCUGAGACACGGCCCAGACUCCUACGGGAGGCAGCAGUGGGGAAUCUUAGACAAUGGGCGCAAGCCUGAUCUAGCCAUGCCGCGUGAGCGAUGAAGGCCUUAGGGUUGUAAAGCUCUUUCGUGGGGGAAGAUAAUGACUGUACCCCAAGAAGAAGCCCCGGCUAACUCCGUGCCAGCCGCCGCCGUAACAC
rnacentral:rRNA from 1 species